AGUGAACGCUGGCGGUAUGCCUAACACAUGCAAGUCGAACGGCAGCACAGUAAGAUCUUGCUCUUACGGGUUGCGAGUGGCGGACGGGUGAGGAAUACAUCGGAAUCUACUUUUUCGUGGGGGAUAACGUAGGGAAACUUACGCUAAUACCGCAUACGACCUACGGGUGAAAGCAGUGGAUCUUCGGACCUUGCGCGAUUGAAUUAGCCGAUGUCGGAUUAGCUAGUUGGCGGGGUAAAGGCCCACCAAGGCGACGAUCCGUAGCUGGUCUGAGAGGAUGAUCAGCCACACUGGAACUGAGACACGGUCCAGACUCCUACGGGAGGCAGCAGUGGGGAAUAUUGGACAAUGGGCGCAAGCCUGACCCAGCCAUACCGCGUGGGUGAAGAAGGCCUUCGGGUUGUAAAGCCCUUUUGUUGGGAAAGAAAAGCUGCAGGUUAAUACCACGCUGUUCUGACGGUACCCAAAGAAUAAGCACCGGCUAACUUCGUG
rnacentral:rRNA from 1 species